GGCAGCGGAGUACUACACCACGAAGGCAGCGGAGUACUACACCACAGAAGCUGCUAAUUCGUACUACGUUGAACCAGAAUACUAAACCGAGGCUCCAGUUUACUACACUGCAACCUGCGCUGGUCCCAUGUGCUACACUGAGGCUCCUAAGUACUACACCACUAAGGCAUCCGAGUAUUACACCACUACUUACGCUGCUACUACCUACUACUACCUACUACCACCAACUACAACGAAUCUCCGAAACUUUUGUUAGUAACUUCAAGAGUUCAAGCCUGUCAACAUUGCGGCAGGUGUCUAUUGGUGUUGGAUUUCUUCAAGGCCAGUAUCCUACGUUGUGACACGUCUGUUUCGUGUUUUAAAGGUGACUAUUGCCUUAGUCGCUUUGCUUACACACGUAUUCUUGUGUUUUGACGAUGUUUCAAGUGUAGGUUAUGAAAGAAACAUGUAACUGUUGAUUUUUGCAAAUCUUAGAAGUAAAAGGCAAUUGGCUGACUU